CUUCUUCUUCUUCACUUUGGUUGCUUCCGGCUACGCGUGGGGGAAAGGGACUGCUUGCUCCUGCUCCUCCCAUGGCGAAUGACCACGACCCCCCAGGGCAGCAUUCAGUCUACUUCUACGUCACGAGUGUUCCAUGCAGGGUAAAGCACACACACGGUUGGGGGAGGCGGCCAUGUCCACCUUUCUUCUGCUGCUAAUUAAAACUCAUCUUUGUUAGCUGCUGCUGCUGCUGCUGUUCGUUCGUGCAUGUGCACCUCGUUUUUCCCCCACCUGCAAGAAGAUUUUAUGUGUCAGACCCAAGAAUUGUCCUCUAUCUCCGUUGCUUUUCAGGUAAGUCACUGGAUCACUUCUAUGUGGGGGAAAAGCCAUCGGCAAUCAAUCAUCACAGUUGGGGUCCUGGGGAGAAAGAGGUGGCACCAGAUGUUCGUAUUCCAGGACAGAGGGCAUCUCCCUUUUGUUUACCCGGAGCAGCAAGCUGCUAGCUAGCAAUUUCCAAUCAGAAAUCUUUGCUUCUCCAAUCCCGGACGGAGCACGUUGCCGCCGCUGAACCUGUCCGCGAUCAGUGAAGAACCGGGCUUUCUAUAAUGACACAGGUUUUUGGAGCAAUUAGCACAUCCCCGCUUGCUUCGUAUCGCAACGAUUAAAACCAACUGGUGCGUGUGCGUGCCCGUGGGGGUUAAUGUCACCAUCUGUUCUUCCUCCAUGCAGGACUUGCAGUUGGGCCGAGAUAAACCGACUUUUAGCUUUUCUUCUCCAGCACCUUGAGGCAGGUGGAGAAAGCUCGCUCACUGGUACACUCCAGGCGACCAUGCUGUCAUGGUGCAUGCAUUAUCUAGAAGGGGUGGGAGAUAAGGGACGGCAGCGGCGUGGCGAUUAGCAAGGCUGGCAUUAGAAGAUCACGGGGGUAGGGCGAGUUUGACGAAUGAGCGGGAGGCAUCUUUUCCGGGGUCCCCAACAGGACAUAGGUCCACCCCCUCCCUUCCUACAGCACCACACAGGCACAGGCCCAAGGUUUUGCAGGUUUGUGACCGUGCUCAAUCCGACGGCACUCUUGCCAUUUUCCCUUCUGAUGCACUUGGAAGAAACGGUAUCUAUUGCGUGAAGUGGAUGCGUUUUGGGAUAUGUGACAACACAUGGAUAAUUUCCACAUGCACGCCCACUUCUCCACCGAUCCAGUGGCCAGCAGUUAGAAUCACCUUUUUAAUCAACUAUAAAUUGUUCGUCAAGACUACACCAGGAUUGCCCAACCAUUUAUAGCUCUAGCUUACCUCCCUAAUGUAGUCUAUCCAGGAUUAAAAAAUGUAAUUAAGGACGAGAUCCAUGCAUGGCUCUCUCGCCGUCGUCCUUUUCAUG